GGAUUAUUGGAGCGAGCUUUCAGGAUGUUGGUCUUCCACUUUUAUCAUGGAAAAGCCCAUGGAAAGCCAGGUUCCUAAAGGGGCCGAACCCGAAAUCUGGGCUAGUAGUAGGCCUCAAACUCAACAUGGACCAACCCCGUGAUUGUGAGACUGUGACAAGGAAAGUCUUCUCUGUUCUUGCGGCUUAUCGUGUUCGUCCAUCAAUCCUGAUCAAAGGACGCAAGCGUUCUUCAGAUCUGCAUACCAAUCUACAGAAAUAUUAAUGGGAUAGAACUGGUUAUAUUUGGAAUAAGCCAAUCGACCUUUUAACUUGACUCUGUUGCUAAUGCUUUAAGCCUUGGAGUUUGGGACUCAGUUGGGGAGCCAGUUAAUCUGUGGAACUUUGACUAGAGACCCUAAUUGAAGAGGAAUAGGGCUAUGUCAAUCAUAUCUUUAGCUAACACCAAAUACAUCCCCGAAUAUUCAGGAUCUUUAUCAAAGUGUUUGACGUGUUAAUGCCCACUGAGAUUUUGUUUUCAGUUUUCCUUUAUAGAUUGUCCUCUGGAGAAACAGUCUUUGACUGGUUUUAGGGAGGAGAGAAAGGAAGAAGCUUUUGAUCAAUGGGACUCUUGUCAAGCAUGAGAGGCCUGCUGUUGGUAAUGUUUAUUUAAGGAGUAAAUGUUUGGAUGCUAGCAUGGUGGUUCUGGAGAUUCUAUUUUUCUGCAUGGUCAUCAUGUUGGAACUCAUGCCGUCUGCACUUUAGUAAAUUGAGACCCUAAUCUGGCAUAUACCGUGUUGAACAUGUUCGCGCUAUCAUGGUGGAUACCCUUUCCCAUGAAAAUACAGCUCAUAUUUUGCAGUUUAGGACAUCACAGGAAAUUCCCUGCUAAGAAGUUUGGUGCUGUGCAAUGAAGACCAAUCAUUGUAACACUGGGGACUAGUUCUAAUCUUUUCCUGUUCAAUUCCUUGGUCAACUAAAGGUAAUAGGAAUAUAAAUUGUAAAAAGUAGAUAUUGGUGCCCAAAUCAUCUCUGUGCCCUCAUCUCCGUGCCCAAAAUUUAAGAAGUUGCCUCCAUGUAUCCCAACCUACAUGCUUAAACCUCUGAACAUAGAUGGUAAGUUAGUAACCUACUUCAUAACUAUGAAUUUCCUCUAGGCUAUACCCAGUUUAUCCAUUCAUUACCAUUUGUUUUAGAAUUCAAUGGAAGUGCUGGGAAACACAGGUAUGAUAUCCAUUAACCUGUUCCAUGCCAACUUCAUUAAUGCCUUUGCGAGAAUCCUUUUAUUGAAAUGCUUUGCUCGGUGCAGCCAUAUCACUACCCAGUGAAAUAUGUGUUUAAUUUCUAACCUGAUGCAUGUGACUAGAAAAUGCUCUGGAAUUGCUGUAUCAUUGCAUAUAAUUGCAGGCUAUCCAGCUUUGCUGAUUAAGAGGUCACUAGAAUGGGCAACAACACUGAUCUGCAGUUUUGGUGAUGAUAGGACAUGAAUUUUUAUGUGGUGACAAAGUUUCACGUAUUGCGAGCAGAUUGGCGGACCCAUGGCAAUACUAGCAUUUCAAAAGGCUCUGUUGAUCGAUUCUUCAUCAUAUAUAGCCAGAAUUACCAAUUGCUGCAAGUGCUUUCUGCGCCAGCCAUGGUGCCUAUUUGGUCGUCAACUGUGACAUGUGUAAAAGGAAAAGGUUUCCUCUUUUUCCACUGUCGAACAAGAGCCACGUGUUGUGGCCAACAUUGUCUGCACGUUCCAAAAUCAUUUCCUUUUCACGGGUUAUACAGGAACGGCAUGCUGUGUUUAUCUGGCUUUCCAACCAUUUAGGGCAAUUUUAUGAAUUCAUGUUUUUUUACACAUUCAAAUGCUUAUGUCCCAUGAUGGAUGCGAAUAUAUACCUUGAAAAAAAAGAGUCACGUAGUCUUCA
rnacentral:sRNA from 10 species